GGGCUUGUAGCUCAGGUGGUUAGAGCGCACGCCUGAUAAGCGUGAGGUCGGAGGUUCGAGUCCUCCCAAGCCCACCA
rnacentral:tRNA from 29 species